UGUCUCAGAUGGUAAAGAAUCUGUCUGUAAUGCAGGAGACCCAGGUUCGAUCCCUGG
rfam:TPA: Bos taurus chromosome X, whole genome shotgun sequence.